CCUACGGGAGGCAGCAGUGGGGAAUAUUGCACAAUGGGCGCAAGCCUGAUGCAGCCAUGCCGCGUGUGUGAAGAAGGCCUUCGGGUUGUAAAGCACUUUCAGCGGGGAGGAAGGCGUUAAGGUUAAUAACCUUGGCGAUUGACGUUACCCGCAGAAGAAGCACCGGCUAACUCCGUGCCAGCAGCCGCGGUAAUACGGAGGGUGCAAGCGUUAAUCGGAAUUACUGGGCGUAAAGCGCACGCAGGCGGUCUGUCAAGUCGGAUGUGAAAUCCCCGGGCUCAACCUGGGAACUGCAUUCGAAACUGGCAGGCUAGAGUCUUGUAGAGGGGGGUAGAAUUCCAGGUGUAGCGGUGAAAUGCGUAGAGAUCUGGAGGAAUACCGGUGGCGAAGGCGGCCCCCUGGACAAAGACUGACGCUCAGGUGCGAAAGCGCGGGGGGCAAACAGGAUUAGAUACCCGGGUAGUC
rnacentral:rRNA from 1 species